rnacentral:rRNA from 1 species
AACGAACGCUGGCGGCAGGCUUAACACAUGCAAGUCGAGCGCCCCGCAAGGGGAGCGGCAGACGGGUGAGUAACGCGUGGGAAUCUACCCAUCUCUACGGAAUAACGCAUGGAAACGUGUGCUAAUACCGUAUACGUCCUUCGGGAGAAAGAUUUAUCGGAGAUGGUAGAGCCCGCGUUGGAUUAGCUCGUUGGUGGGGUAAAGGCCUACCAAGGCGACGAUCCAUAGCUGGUCUGAGAGGAGGAGCAGCCACACUGUGACUGAUACACGGCACAUAAUCCGACGGGAGGCAGAGGUGGGGAAUAUUGGACAAUGGGCGCAAGCCUGAGCCAGCCAUGCCGCGUGAGUGAGGAAGGCCCUAGGGUAGUAAAGCUCUUUCACCGGUGAAGAUAAUGACGGUAACCGGAGAAGAAGCCCCCGGCUAACUUCGUGCCAGCAGCCGCCGUAAAAC